UACAGAGGGGGCAAGCGUUGUUCGGAAUUACUGGGCGUAAAGGGCGCGUAGGCGGCCUUCUAAGUCAGACGUGAAAUCCCCGGGCUCAACCCGGGAACUGCGUCUGAUACUGGAAGGCUUGAAUCCGGGAGAGGGAUGUGGAAUUCCGGGUGUAGCGGUGAAAUGCGUAGAUAUCUGGAGGAACACCGGUGGCGAAGGCGGCAUCCUGGACCGGUAUUGACGCUGAGGCGCGAAAGCCAGGGGAGCAAACGGG
rnacentral:rRNA from 1 species